rfam:Flavobacterium sp. LPB0076 LPBF35, whole genome shotgun sequence.
AUAUAAGAGGAAAAAUUUGAACUGAUUGCAACCUCUUCAUAAUGAAAUAACUUCAUUAUGGAUACUGAAGAUUUCAGUAGAAAAAAAUGCUAAAGCAGAAACU